rnacentral:rRNA from 1 species
CAGUAGGGAGGAAGGUAGUGUAGUUAACACCUGCACUAUUUGACGUUACCUACAGAAGAAGCACCGGCUAACUCCGUGCCAGCAGCCGCGGUAAUACGGAGGGUGCGAGCGUUAAUCGGAAGUUACUGGGCGUAAAGACGCAUGCAGGCGGCCGUGUUAAGUCAGAUGUGAAAGACCCGGGGCGUUAACCUCGGAAUUGCAUUUGUAAACUAGGCAGGCUAGAGUCUUGUAGAGGGGGGUAGGAAGUUUCUAGGUGUAGCGGUGAAAUAGCGUAGAGAUCUGAAGGAAUACCAGUGGCGAAGGCGGCCCCCUCGGACAAAGACUGACGCUCAGAUGCGAAAGCGUGGGGAGCAAACAGGAUUAGAUACCCCUGGUAG